GUGCUUGCUCUGGCGCACAUAUACUAAAAUUGGAAUGACACAGAGAAGAUUAGCAUUGCUCUCCUGCAAAAAGGACAUGCAUUUUCGCGAAGCAUUCCAUAUUUAA
rnacentral:snRNA from 1 species